UGAAAAAUUUCUGAGAGAGAAUAUGCAUCGACGAGAUAUUGUCAAAGAAAAACUUUCAUCGGCAUUAGUCGACUAAUGCGUCGGGAUGCGGUGACGUCUGAGGUUGAGAGUGCGAGAUAACCGAGCACCAGGCCAAGCCGGAAGCCAUUCAGUCGGUCAACUCGUCAGACCGCGCCGACGAUGUCGCGCUUACGUUACCAAUCUACUUACAUAUGCGCAGUCUACGCGACAUUAAGGCGUUAUAAAUUUUUCUACACUGAAUUUAGCUUUAUGAAUAAAGCGUCGAGAUUUACAAAAUGACGCCGCUUCAAGAAAAAGUCUCAAUUUUACGAUCAUCGUUCGACGGGAGACAGACAAAAUUACAGUGAAAUGAUACUGCAUAUUUUAGUUGUGCCAUUAAAUGAUUACUCGGAUGGGUUUUCAUUCGUUCGACACGCGAUGUAGCAUCAUUCUAUAAUGUAUUUCUCCUUCUCUCCCUCUCUCUUCUCUUUUUCUUACUCUACAUCAUUGUAUUACUUCCUUUUGUAUUGUUUUCAAGGCUAGAUUGGCAACAGUAUAUAGCUGUACCUCGUCUGCAUGCCGAACGUACGCUUAUUUCUUACGUCUACAUAUUAAUUUUCCGUGACUUUGCUCGAUAUUAAAACGCUCACAAUCUUCGUAGUAUCGCAAUCCUUAUUAACUCGAAAUUUACUAGUAACGAAUAAACAGUUUAUUUUUUAUCUUCGACUUUUAUCCACAUCGUUGGUUCGCAGAGUAGCAGGUGUGUUUCGUAACCGCGAGAUGUGAAAACCAUUCUUCCUGCAGACGAUUCUAUUCCGCAACCAACACAAUCUGCUAGCAUCGUCGCACAGGAAGGAAGUCUUCCUACGCGUGGCGCGCGUCCCAGUAUGAUUUCGCGAUCGCGGCUGAAGGUUGCUUCUGCGCGUCUAUGACGCGUGCAAACGUUUGCGAGAAAUCGUUAACAAGUGAAAGAAGAACGGUCUGAAAACGACUAUUGUGCGUCUCGUGGCGAUAGGGAACGCGCGAAUCAUUCCGCCAGAAAUACACACCUAUUCCUCGGUAGCAGCGCGAGUAAUGGGAUUACUCAUCCGUGAACCGUGUCAGUGAUAGUGCAUGAAAUGAUACCGAAUUGGCGGGAAAGUGACGCAGAAAAUUCGCGGAAAUCUUCGUCGAUUCAAUGAAGAUGACACGAUCCACGAAACUAGCGCAUACAAUGAAAGACACGGCGCAGACGUCGGCUUACGAAACGCGAACUGGAUGUGGCGAUACACUUUGGAAGACGACAGCAGACAACGGCGCACUCCGUCAGUAGGUUGCACGCAAGUACACGCCGGAACGAAAACCAAACUGCAGCGCUACCGAGCGAUCCACGAUCCGUUUACCCUAACUUCGCGAAAGAUCGAAAGAUAAUUGGCUAGAGGGAGAUUUGGUAAAAUUCUUAUCUAGAUGAAACAUUUUGU